rnacentral:tRNA from 1 species
CGGAACGUAGCGCAGUCUGGUAGCGCAUCUGCUUUGGGAGCAGAGGGUCGCGAGUUCGAAUCCCGCCGUUCCGACCA